GUGCUUAACACAUGCAAGUCGAACGGAAAGGCCCUGCUUUUGUGGGGUGCUCGAGUGGCGAACGGGUGAGUAACACGUGAGUAACCUGCCCUUGACUUUGGGAUAACUUCAGGAAACUGGGGCUAAUACCGGAUAGGAGCUCCUGCUGCAUGGUGGGGGUUGGAAAGUUUCGGCGGUUGGGGAUGGACUCGCGGCUUAUCAGCUUGUUGGUGGGGUAGUGGCUUACCAAGGCUUUGACGGGUAGCCGGCCUGAGAGGGUGACCGGCCACAUUGGGACUGAGAUACGGCCCAGACUCCUACGGGAGGCAGCAGUGGGGAAUAUUGCACAAUGGGCGGAAGCCUGAUGCAGCAACGCCGCGUGCGGGAUGACGGCCUUCGGGUUGUAAACCGCUUUCGCCUGUGACGAAGCGUGAGUGACGGUAAUGGGUAAAGAAGCACCGGCUAACUACGUGCCAGCAGCCGCGGUGAUACGUAGGGUGCGAGCGUUGUCCGGAUUUAUUGGGCGUAAAGGGCUCGUAGGUGGUUGAUCGCGUCGGAAGUGUAAUCUUGGGGCUUAACCCUGAGCGUGCUUUCGAUACGGGUUGACUUGAGGAAGGUAGGGGAGAAUGGAAUUCCUGGUGGAGCGGUGGAAUGCGCAGAUAUCAGGAGGAACACCAGUGGCGAAGGCGGUUCUCUGGGCCUUUCCUGACGCUGAGGAGCGAAAGCGUGGGGAGCGAACAGGCUUAGAUACCCUGGUAGUCCACGCUGUAAACGGUGGGUACUAGGUGUGGGGUCCAUUCCACGGGUUCCGUGCCGUAGCUAACGCUUUAAGUACCCCGCCUGGGGAGUACGGCCGCAAGGCUAAAACUCAAAGGAAUUGACGGGGCCCCGCACAAGCGGCGGAGCAUGCGGAUUAAUUCGAUGCAACGCGUAGAACCUUACCUGGGUUUGACAUGGAUCGGGAGUGCUCAGAGAUGGGUGUGCCUCUUUUGGGGUCGGUUCACAGGUGGUGCAUGGCUGUCGUCAGCUCGUGUCGUGAGAUGUUGGGUUAAGUCCCGCAACGAGCGCAACCCUUGUUCACUGUUGCCAGCACGUUAUGGUGGGGACUCAGUGGAGACCGCCGGGGUCAACUCGGAGGAAGGUGGGGAUGACGUCAAGUCAUCAUGCCCCUUAUGUCCAGGGCUUCACGCAUGCUACAAUGGCUGGUACAGAGAGUGGCGAGCCUGUGAGGGUGAGCGAAUCUCGGAAAGCCGGUCUCAGUUCGGAUUGGGGUCUGCAACUCGACCUCAUGAAGUCGGAGUCGCUAGUAAUCGCAGAUCAGCAACGCUGCGGUGAAUACGUUCCCGGGGCUUGUACACACCGCCCGUCAAGUCAUGAAAGUUGGUAACACCCGAAGCCGGUGGCCUAACCGUUGUGGGGGAGCCGUCGAAGGUGGGACUGGUGAUUAGGACUAA
rnacentral:rRNA from 1 species